UCCGUAGGUGAACCUGCGGAAGGAUCAUUGUCGAAACAGGCCCAGCAGAACGACCCGCGAACGCGUUGUAAACAACACCGGAGGUGGUGCGGGUGCAGCCCUGCAUCUCGCCACCCUCCACGUCUCGGAGCGAUCGGUCUUGCCAUCCUUCCGCCCAUCGGGCAGGGUGAGAUGCCAGGUUCAACCUCUCCGAGGCAAAAACGUACAAACCCCCGGCGCGAAUCGCGCCAAGGAACCGAAACGAAAAUAGGGGCACGUCUCCUGUCGUCGCACCGUUCGCGGUGUCGGUGCUUCAGGGAUGUUGUUCUUUUGUCGCGAAAUAUACAGAACGACUCUCGGCAACGGAUAUCUCGGCUCUCGCAUCGAUGAAGAACGUAGCGAAAUGCGAUACUUGGUGUGAAUUGCAGAAUCCCGUGAACCAUCGAGUCUUUGAACGCAAGUUGCGCCCCAAGCCAUUAGGCCGAGGGCACGUCUGCCUGGGUGUCACGCAUCGUCGCCCCCAUCCAACCCCGAGCCCUCGGGCCUGGGUUGAAGUGUGGGCGGAAAUUGGCCUCCCGUGAGCUCACCGCCGGCGGUUGGCCUAAAUACGAAGUCCUCGACGACGGCAUCGUCGCGACGAUCGGUGGUAAUGCUAUCGGCUGCCUCGUUCGGAGUCGUGCACGUCGGUCGAUCGAGACCCCAGACCCGACCCUUUCGGCAUCGCGAGGACGGUGCUCGCAUCGCGACCCCAGGUCAGGCGGGAUUACCCGCUGAGUUUA
rnacentral:rRNA from 1 species